CAGAGCCCUUCUCUGGGGUUUAUGCCUGGAUGUUGGGCGGGGGAAAGGCUCUGUUUCCUCUGGGCCGCUGAAAACCUGGUGCUGCCUUUGGCCGUGGCCUCUCCCUCUGUCUGGCCAUUUGGAAGAAAGGAUGAGCGUGGGCUUCUGACCUUGUGUGAUGGGCACAGACCAGGGUCUCCUACUCAGAAGUCUAAGUAUUGCCGCUGCUGACGGGCUGGAGGGCCAGCGCGGCCUCCCCUCGUGCUCACGUGCACCCCGCGCCAUCUGUCCCAGGGUCUCCCAGGAGGCAACGGAGGACCUUUGCGGCACUGCCUUGCCUCGUGUGCUGUGCCCCCUCCCGCCACCACUAAUAGACUGAAACAAUUAGGUGGAAAGAAGAGACUUAUGGCCAUCGUUUGGUGCCUUCCUGGUCCCUUGUCCAGAUGCAGGCUGCACGGGACUGCACGGGCUUCCCGACGUCCUUGCACGAGGCACAUCUUUCCCAAGACCCAAGGCGGCUCCUGGCUCCCGCUGGUGCACCCAACCCUGUCCUUCCUGGUUCACUCCUACAGAACUCGCUGCUCCCAGGGGAGGCCUCCCUCCACACUGAGCUCCUCUCCCCCUGCCCUGGACUCCUUGGGGUUCUCGCUUCUGUGAGGCUUCAGGACCUGGGCCAGAAACUCGGGAGCCACGGAUUCAGUAGCUGUUACAACUGGUCCUGUCUCUCUGCCUCCACCUUGCACCAACUUCAUUAAACUCGCCUGGACCCUAAUGGGUCCCCCAUCC